AGUGAACGCUGGCGGUAGGCCUAACACAUGCAAGUCGAACGGCAGCACAGUAAGAGCUUGCUCUUACGGGUGGCGAGUGGCGGACGGUUGAGGAAUACAUCGGAAUCUACUUUUUCGUGGGGGAUAACGUAGGGAAACUUACGCUAAUACCGCAUACGACCUACGGGUGAAAGCAGGGGAUCUUCGGACCUUGCGCGAUUGAAUGAGCCGAUGUCGGAUUAGCUAGUUGGCGGGGUAAAGGCCCACCAAGGCGACGAUCCGUAGCUGGUCUGAGAGGAUGAUCAGCCACACUGGAACUGAGACACGGUCCAGACUCCUACGGGAGGCAGCAGUGGGGAAUAUUGGACAAUGGGCGCAAGCCUGAUCCAGCCAUACCGCGUGGGUGAAGAAGGCCUUCGGGUUGUAAAGCCCUUUUGUUGGGAAAGAAAAGCAGCAGGUUAAUACCCCGCUGUUCUGACGGUACCCAAAGAAUAAGUACCGGCUAACUUCGUG
rnacentral:rRNA from 1 species